CUAAACGCCAAUAUAAACGAUUGGAGAAGAGUCUUGGCAUCUAUUGCCACAUUUGGUCUUGCAUCAUUAGAGUGUGUUAGUUAGGGAUGUCAGUAGUCUGGUAUGAUGAGGUGCAUUUAGAAGGAGACAGUGAUGUGAGUAGUCAGUAGUCUGGUAUGAUGAGGUCCAUUUAGAAGGAGACAGUGAUGUGAGUAGUCAGUAGUCUGGUAUGAUGAGGUCCAUUUAGAAGGAGACAGUGAUGUGAGUAGUCAGUAGUCUGGUAUGAUGAGGUCCAUUUAGAAGGAGACAGUGAUGUGAGUAGUCAGUAGUCUGGUAUGAUGAGGUCCAUUUAGAAGGAGACAGUGAUGUCAGUAGUCUGGUAUGAUGAGGUCCAUUUAGAAGGAGACAGUGAUGUGAGUAGUCAGUAGUCUGGUAUGAUGAGGUCCAUUUAGAAGGAGACAGUGAUGUGAGUAGUCAGUAGUCUGGUAUGAUGAGGUCCAUUUAGAAGGAGACAGUGAUGUGAGUAGUCAGUAGUCUGGUAUGAUGAGGUCCAUUUAGAAGGAGACAGUGAUGUGAGUAGUCAGUAGUCUGGUAUGAUGAGGUCCAUUUAGAAGGAGAGACAGUGAUGUGAGUAGUCAGUAGUCUGGUAUGAUGAGGUCCAUUUAGAAGGAGACAGUGAUGUGAGUAGUCAGUAGUCUGGUAUGAUGAGGUCCAUUUAGAAGGAGACAGUGAUGUGAGUAGUCAGUAGUCUGGUAUGAUGAGGUCCAUUUAGAAGGAGACAGUGAUAUGAGUAGUCAGUAGUCUGGUAUGAUGAGGUCCAUAUUGAUGUACACAGACACAUAGAA